rnacentral:rRNA from 1 species
CAUGUCCUUUUGAAUAUAAUUUAAGGUCUAAUCUGCUCAAUGAAAUUUAAAUAGCCGCAGUAUUUUGACUGUGCAAAGGUAGCAUAAUAAUUAGUUUCUUGAUUAGAAGCUGGAAUGAAUGAUUGGACAAGAAAAUUUCUGUCUCUUUUUCAAAUUUUUUGAAUUUUAUUUUUAAGUGAAAAAGCUUAAAUUUUUAUAAAAGACGAGAAGACCCUAUAGAGUUUGAUAUUUUUAAAUAAAUUUAAUAUUAGAAUUUAAUUUUAUUUAAUUUUAUUUGGUUGGGGUGAUCUAAAGAUGUAAUAAAUUCUUUAAAGUUUAAAUUGGAGAUUUCUAAAUUUUUAAUCUAUAUUUUAUAAAUAUAAAAUAAAUUACCUUAGGGAUAACAGCGUAAUUUUUCUUUAUAGUUCUUAUUGAAAGGAAAGUUUGCGACCUCGAUGUUGGAUUAAAAUUAAUUUUAGGUGCAGUAGCUUAAAAAUUAGGUCUGUUCGACCUUUAAAAUUUUACAUGAUCUGAGUUUAAACCGGUGUAAACCAGGUUGGAUUCUAUCUUUAGAAAUACAAUAUAUUUUAGUACGAAAGGACAGGAUAUAUAUUAAAUUAAUU